rnacentral:lncRNA from 1 species
UUGAUAUACGACAAGCAUAACUUCUGAAACUUUUCGCUUUUUACACUUAAUGACCUCAUCCGCCUACAUUUUUGAGAUCGGAGGUAUGAUAUAUGUAACACAGGGUAGAUGAGCUUUCAUUUGAUAUGCGACAACGCCAUGUUCUAAAAAGUUUGAUUUUUGCACUUAAUAACCCCAUCCAACCAAUUUUGGAGGUUGGGAAUUGAUAUUUCAAAUGUACACAUCAUGACCUUUCAUUUGAUAUACAACAACCCUAUAGUAAAAGAAAAUUUAUUUUUUGCACUCAAUGACCCA